CACUGUUGUCAAUUGCUGAUCACUUUGAUUUGGUACCUUCCACUGUAAUGAAUAUUGUUAAUAGUUUGCUAUACCUAACAUUACAGUUAAAAAAGAAGUACAUAUUUUGGCCAAAAACCGAAGAUGAAUAUCGUGCAAUUAAGGAUGGAUUUAAAGGAUAUCCUAAUGUGAUUGGUGCAGUCGACGGAACACAUAUUAAACUGAAGGUACCAGCAAACCAACAUGAUAGUUAUAUUGACAGACACCAAACAUAUUCCAUCAAUUUAAUGGGAAUAUGCAAUGCUGAAAACUUAUUUACAUAUGUUUUUGUUGGUUAUCCAGGGUCAGCACAUGAUUCAAGAGUGUUUUCAAAUAGUGCACUGGUGAGACAUAUUGAAACAUAUGGAAAACAUAUAUAUUUUCCCAAUGAAGAGGAUCAUUUAAUAGGAGACAGCGCUUUUCCUUUGAGAACGUGGCUUAUGACACCGUUUUCUAGGAGAAAUAAUUUAACCAGAAGGGAAAGACAUCAUAAUUGGUGUUUAAGUUCGGAUCGAGUUUGCAUUGAACAUACGUUUGGUAUUCUCAAAGGGAGAUGGGCUAGAUUACAAUACAUAAAUACAUACUCAGUCAGUAAAGCUAUUGAAAUCGCCACAGUUGCAUGUAUUUUGCACAAUUUUUGUUACCUGAAUGGGGAUGAGUGGCCGGCCGAAGAGGUAGAAAUUCGUCCAGAAGAAGAUCACGUAGAAGAAAACGACAGAGAAGCAUUUCGGCGUGGAGAACAUAAGAGAAAUGAUAUAGCAAGGUAUU